GUUAACCAAUUCCUACAUGGAUUGGCAGUUGUCCACUCAACCAAUGUGUGCAUUUGUAGAAGGAUGUGUUGUUCAUUUGUUGUUGCAGUGACUGCGACGCUUUGUGAUGGAUGUGUACGGUAGGUUGAAGUGACGGCGACGUUUUUGGAAGGAUGCGUGCAUUUGUUGUUGGAGAAGCAAAUCCCGAGAAAAAGGAUUCAAAUCAAUGUGCAAACAGAAGACAACUGUUCAGGACCAACUGGAUGGAAAGUCCAAACCUGAAGAUGGCAAAAGAAGAGGACAGAUGACUUGUUAUUUUGUCUUGGCCCCAUCAAUGAGGUUAAGGCGUUAAGCUACUAUAGUAGAUAAAGUGUCAUGUUGCUGCAUUCUUCUAGGUUUGCAAUUUGGGAAAUAUCUAUUGAUCCACAUGCAAAAAACAGCAGAUCUAGUCCAGGUGCCAUCUCAGGUCAUCAGGUGUCAAACUGAGAUAUGUUUGGUAUCUAGGAAUUACAUCAUCACGCUCUCAGUCUGGCACUUUGGUUUUUGCUAAGUAUCAAUGCUAUUUCUGAAAGAAACUGAAAGUUCAGAUUUGGUG